CAGCUGGUUGGUGGGGUAAGAGCCUACCAAGGCGACGAUCGGUAGCUGGUCUGAGAGGACGAUCAGCCACACUGGGAUUGAGAACGGCCCAGACUCCUACGGGGGGCAGCAGUGAGGAAUUUUCCGCAAUGGACGAAAGUCUGACGGAGCAACGCCGCGUGCAGGAGGACGCUUUUCGGAGUGUAAACUGCUUUUCUGUGGGAAGAGCAAGGACGGUACCACAGGAAGAAGCCCCGGCUAACUACGUGCCAGCAGCCGCGGUAAUACGUAGGGGGCGAGCGUUGUCCGGAGUUACUGGGCGUAAAGGGCAUGCAGGCGGUCGGACGCGUUUUGUGUGACAGCGGGCGGCUUAACUACCCGAGUAUGCGAAAGACGGUUCGACUUGAGGGCUCGAGAGGGACACUGAAUUCCGGGUGGAGU
rnacentral:rRNA from 1 species